rnacentral:misc_RNA from 1 species
AUGAAUCGCCUGAUUUGGAGCUUCUUGCUCAUUUUCUCUUUAUUGGGUAGAAAUCUGGAUGCAAGAGGCGGUAGAGGCCGUGGCGGCGGCGGCGGUGGCCGUGGUUCUAGUGGUGCACGAGGUGGUGUAGGAGGACGCGGUGGCGGUGGACGUGGUGGCGGCGGCGGCGGCUUCAGAUCAGGAGGUGCCCGAUCGAGCUUCAGCAGUUUUAGGUAAUCACUCUCUUUGUAUUUUGAAUAUGGGAAAUAUUUUAUCAGGGGAGGAAGUAGUCAUUAUAGCUCGAGUUUCCGGCAGAAUGUAUUCCACACCAGCUCGACUUCCAGGACAUUUGUAUUUUCUCCGAUGACUCGUACUAUUGUAAUCAUCUCACCUGCUUCUCCUAUGAUUUACGAAAACAACCAUUACUACUGGGCAGGGCAUCAUGUGAAUACUACAGAAAAACCUUACAAGUGUGAUUAUCAAAUCACUUAUGAGGAUAUGGAAUUGAGACAUGUGACAUUCGCAAAUGGCACAAAACCAGGAAAUAUAACAUUUGGAUGCGCAGAAUAUCAGAGUUGUUGUGGAAUGGAAUGUUGUACUGAAUUAAGUGAUUUCCAAGAAUGUAUGAUUAUAAUUGGAGUAUUCCUGACGGCAGGCCUCUGCUUGUUGAUCCGCAGAUGGGUCAGACAAAAAGGAUAUUGUAACGGCAAAAUGACUUGCAAAAGAGACAGUCGGCCGACAUCGGGUCCAGAAUUUCAAGAACUAACUCACAGAGCUCAUGGUGAUACAAAUCGUGUCAACACUUCACUGAAAACAUGA